rnacentral:rRNA from 1 species
GAUGAACGCUGGCGGCGUGCCUAAUACAUGCAAGUCGAACGAAACUUCUUUAUCACCGAGUGCUUGCACUCACCGAUAAAGAGUUGAGUGGCGAACGGGUGAGUAACACGUGGGCAACCUGCCCAAAAGAGGGGGAUAACACUUGGAAACAGGUGCUAAUACCGCAUAACCAUAGUUACCGCAUGGUAACUAUGUAAAAGGUGGCUAUACUACCGCUUUUGGAUGGGCCCGCGGCGCAUUAGCUAGUUGGUAGGGUAAAGGCUUACCAAGGCAAUGAUGCGUAGCCGAAUUGAGAGGUUGAUCGGCCACAUUGGGACUGAGACACGGCCCAAACUCCUACGGGAGGCAGCAGUAGGGAAUCUUCCACAAUGGGCGAAAGCCUGAUGGAGCAACGCCGCGUGGGUGAAGAAGGUCUUCGGAUCGUAAAACCCUGUUGUUAGAGAAGAAAGUGCGUGAGAGUAACUGUUCACGCUUCGACGGUAUCUAACCAGAAAGCCACGGCUAACUACGUG